ensembl:lncRNA
CUUGUUUUUUCAUGUGUCACAUGUAAGUGAAGAGUCAUAAUGACAAUCCAGCUGGAUUUAUUAGUGGUUGAAUAGACUAUCAAGAAAAGAUUUAUUAACCAAGAAGUGAAUUCAAUGUAAAAGAACUGAAGAGUCCAAACCAUGUCUCUAUUAUACAUUUUUAGCACCUUCAGGAAAACUCCCUGCUAACGGCCACUUCUGGAAAUUCAAGAUAUAACGGCUUUUCCUGAGUGCCGUUAUGCCUUGGGUACUAUGAUGUUUGCCCAUAGUCUCUCUGAAAUUCAACAAGUCAUCAAGCCAAUUCUCUGGGCCUCACUGUCUUCUUCAUGGAGCUUCUGUGUGGAUAAUUUGGGCUUUGGCGUAGCUUGGCGAUCUCUGUGUGGUUGGAUUUCUUUCCUGUGAGAGAAAAAGUGGCAGUGCACUCCAUGUGUGGCCCCAGGAGUACCGGAACGUCAUCUCUUCCAGGCUUGGUCAGGCCCACCCCAGUUGUCAGCUUCUCAGCAAUGUGGUCACGCUGUCACACCCUUUCUGCCACCUGCCUCAGGUGCCUCAGAGUCCCAUGAAGAAGAUCAUACGAUGAAAGAUGAAAUGCUUGAUGACAGAAGCCCCUUUAUUACAUCUCACCUCGACACGGAAAGAACCAUUUCACAGAGAAAGGCUAUCAUCAGUCCUUUCUGCCUAUCCAGCUAGACACCAGUUUCUUCCAGGAAAAAGAAACAAAGAUAAAACAUGUAAAUUGAUCAGUCACAGAUGGACCUUGCUGAUCAACAUCACCUGCUUCUGGAGAAAGAUCCUUGUUUUAUUUGACUUUCAGGAAUGGGCAGAAAAGGCCACUGGAAAAAGAUUUGGUCUUUCUGCAUAUGGACAAAGGAUUCAUGGUUUUCUGAGGAGAGGACUAACAGAGAAGACUCCUGGCCUACUCUGGAUGGAUGUCCAGGAAUGGGCUGGGAAGAGGUUAGGGGUUGGUUCCUGUUGUGGCCCGGCAUGUCUCAGCCCCAAGCCACGGUAGCCAGGAGGUUCAGCCUGAGUGGGGGAGCAUGGACUUGGAAACUCUUAGCAACCUAAUGGCGAUAAAGACCAAACACAGGCAUCUUGUCAUCUUUAGAGAGCUCUCAGUUCCAUGCUGCAAAACUGGAGUCUGACAGCCUUCCACAACGAGACACUCAACUUUUACUGAGACACCUCCCUGAGAGGCCUUGAAGUAGACCACGCCCUCUUUGACUCUCAGUCACCCAGGGGAAGAUGGGAGCCACUUGGCAUUCAUCCAGACCCAGGAGUGAAUGGAGGAAACAUCUGGAGACCCUUCCUGUGUCCCUUGGAGAGACUGUGUAACAGUUGGCUCUAUUUGGGGCAUUUCAAGAUGUGUGGUGCAAGAGACACACCUCAGACUUCCAGAGGCAGAAGGCAAAGGUCAAGAGUCAGUAUUCUCUCUGAGGAGAUGCCAAUGGAUUCCAGUUCUGCCUGGUUUGUGACUAGAAGUGACCUUCGCUGCCUGGUACUGAAGGACACCAGGAGCCCAGCCUCCUGAAGCAGCAAGACCUUUUGCUCAUGGAAAGGCUGAGGUGCAGCCAGCCUCAGUACCCAGGAAGGCUCUUCGGGACAGACUAGCCCAUAUCAGCCUUUGCUGUUUCCUUUCUUAAUGGAGAUGGUGUAUCUUACCAGCUUCCCAUUCAAACAUACAGCAUGAGACGGGCGGGAUGACUCAGUGGAUAAGAGUGCUUGCUGCCAAGCCCGAUGACCUGUGUUCUACACAGCGAAAGGAGAAAACUAACUCUCCGGAUUUGUUCUCUGACCUCCACACAACACACAGAGAGAAAUAAAUGUAAUAAAAAACUUAAAAUAUAUGCAGUUCUUCCUUAUCUGCAGAGUAUCCAGUGGACAGGACCAAUUCUUUGUAUGUAAUGUGCUUUUGUCUUAUAUGAAAAUGCUAUGGGCUGGAGGAUAAGCCACUGCAUAGAGUGCUUGCGUAGCACACAAAAAGCCUUGGCUUUAAGUCCCAACACUGCAUAAAACUGAGAACAGCAACUCAAUGCCUAUAAGCCCUGAGGUCAAAGGUAGAGACAGGAGCAUCAGAAACUCAAGAUCAACCUUGGCUACUAUGUGAAUUCGAG